rnacentral:rRNA from 1 species
CUGGCUCAGGACGAACGCUGGCGGCGUGCUUAACACAUGCAAGUCGAGCGAGGAAAUUGCUUCGGU